CAGCCGCCGCGGGAAUACGAAGGGUGCAAGCGUUAAUCGGAAUUACUGGGCGUAAAGCGUGCGUAGGCGGUGAGUUAAGUCUGCUGUGAAAUCCCCGGGCUCAACCUGGGAAUGGCAGUGGAUACUGGCUCGCUAGAGUGUGUCAGAGGAUGGUGGAAUUCCCGGUGUAGCGGUGAAAUGCGUAGAGAUCGGGAGGAACAUCAGUGGCGAAGGCGGCCAUCUGGGACAACACUGACGCUGAGGCACGAAAGCGUGGGGAGCAGACAGGAUUAGAUACCCGAGUAGUCCCUGUCUCUUAUAU
rnacentral:rRNA from 1 species